rnacentral:rRNA from 1 species
GACGAACGCUGGCGGCGUGCUUAACACAUGCAAGUCGAACGGAAAGGCCUCUUUCGGGGGGUACUCGAGUGGCGAACGGGUGAGUAACACGUGAGUAACCUGCCCUUGACUUUGGGAUAACUUCAGGAAACUGGGGCUAAUACCUGAUAGGAGCUCCUGCUGCAUGGUGGGGGUUGGAAAGUUUCGGCGGUUGGGGAUGGACUCGCGGCUUAUCAGCUUGUUGGUGGGGUAGUGGCUUACCAAGGCUUUGACGGGUAGCCGGCCUGAGAGGGUGAACGGCCACAUUGGGACUGAGAUACGGCCCAGAAUCCGACGGGAGGCAGCAGUGGGGAAUAUUGCACAAUGGGUGGAAGCCUGAUGCAGCAACGCCGUGUGCGGGAUGACGGCCUUCGGGUUGUAAACCGAUUUCGCUCAUGACGAAGCUUUGUGUGACGGUAGUGGGUAAAGAAGCACCGGCUAACUACGUG